GUCCAAUCACAGCCUCGUGAAUGAAGCGUCAGUCUCCCGCAGACAUGAUGAAACUUCUGGCUCAUGUUUAGCAUGGUCCGAACGAAUGACUCUGUUUUCGGUGUAAAUAACUUGCUGCUGUCGACACGGCACUGUUUCCCUGGAGGAGAAGAUGAGUGCGUGGGAAAGCAAAGCCGCGGGCAGAUGGAGAAGAUGGGCGCACAGUCCCUAACUUACGGAAAAUCUCGGUCUCUUCACACCUCUAAUUCAAAUGGCCGGCGCCAUGAAGCGGAGCGAGGCCUGAUUCCCGCACACAACGAGGCAGUCACUGCACAUUAGGCCGAGACUCGCUGCAGGUCCGGAUUUGCAGUGCGGAAAACGAAGCCAUUUUAUCUGCCUGUACUAUGACGUACUAAGACACACUAUAAGCCUGUAUGAAGGAGCUUCCAGUACAUCCAUAUGGACCUUGCAUCAGCAUUGAGGAGUUCAGGAGUCGUCAGAGAAGAAAGAGGCUGAUCGAAGCGGGACAGAUGACAUGGAAUCCAUCCUUCCACAGCCAGGAGCUCACCGACCUGUGUGCCACACUUCAAAUAAGACUAAAAGCUACACAAAGAACUUGUGACCCAGAGGCUGCAAAGAGACAUUUCAAGCUUCACCUGAUUAGUUUUUGACUGGCUAGGCCAGUUGUUUGUACAAUAUUUGUGCUUUAUGUAAAUAAAGCU